CUCUCUUUUCGCCCUGUAUCUGUGGGGGAGUGAAACUUUGAGGAAAUCAGUGCAUUGGUCACAUCUUCCCUCAGAAAAACAGCUUGUUGUUAAGGGCUCUGUUAAGGUAGGGGCUGCUCCCCUCCGUCAAACAAGAGAGUGACACCUCCCCCUGUGACCCCCUGGUCAGCACCCCCCCAUCAGAGCUUCUGCCCUUGGAGUAGUGCCCUCGCUGGUUGCCAGAGGCUUUUGUGUCUCUUGGGCAUCCCCAGGGAGCUCAGGGGCUCUCUGCCGCUGGCCAUGGGCACUGGCACAGCAGCCCUUGGCUCCAGCCAAACCGAAACAUAAACUGCAAAAUACAAAUGGUGUGUGUUAGGUGGGGAAAGGCAGCAAGUGACAGCAGUGUUUGCAAUUGUACUGUUAAGGCAGUUAGCCUGUCUGGUCCUUGGCUGUGAGUCUGUGUAAAAGUGCACGCCUUCAUCUCAGCUGAGAACUGGAUGGGGACCAGGGUGUGCCAUCAGGCUGCUCGUCUUUUUGACACAGCAAAAGCACUGGUCUGGGUGCUGGGGAUUAAUAUUGAGCAAAUAGUACCCUUUUGCAUUAGUCCAGCUUGCAAACAGAAAACAAGAGUUAGCAUCAUUGCACAAAUACGUGGAACGCAAUUCUACUUGAAGAUGCGCCAAAAUAUCCUUGACUCAAAAAAAACCUGCACAGGAGUGACUGAUGGUGGGAAAACUAUCAAAUGCCCAGGCCUGCCAGCAUCGAGCUGAUAGUAAAUGACCAGGGCACUGCAGCUCAGCAAGGGUCUGCUCAGCCCAUUCAUCCAGAAAGGACAGCUCUCUCCUGGGAUAAAGAAAUAGCCAGUGACAAAGGACUUCCUGAGCUGACAGCAUCGACUUGCACUUUGGUAAAUGACUUAUUUAUUCAAACCUGAAGCUCACUGCAGAAUUCUGCAGUGUUUUGCAGUGAAUAUGUUACAGCAUCAACCCAACCUCUGUAAAACCUGCAUUAAAAACUGAUGCCUUUAAGUGGAAGAGGUAGUCGUAAGUGGCUGAGCUAGGCAAUUUCUAAGUGUUUCCAGUCUGGACCAAUCCAGCUGCUAAGCUCUUGGAUCAAGCACUGCUUUCUGUUAACAUCUGUGAGACACCUGUGGUUGGUCACCAGCACUAUUCCAAUUUGUACCAGGUGAGAAAACAGUCAUGAAUGAGGGCUUUUGUUGCUGUUGUUUGACUCAGUUAUACAGUUGGAGGGGAGAUCGCACUGAUUCAGAAGCUCCUGUGGAUGAUACACGUGUGCGGAGUGCAGGCCCUGUUGGCAUAGGUCAGUGCUGUUAAUUGUCUGGCAUCAUCACCCAGCACAAGCUGUGUUGUGGAUACAAGCUCACCUGCUUUGUUUCCCAUGAACCCUCGAAGGCCCAAAUUAGCAUACACACAUACAGAGAGUAUUCAUGGAGGAAAUCUCCACAGCGAGAUUAAAAUCAGAAGCAAAUAUGCAGAUAUGUUGUCUUAUUGCUUCUCCAGGUGAUAGGAAGAGAACAGCAGUCCUCUCCUCACGUUCACUCCCAGCAUGUCCCUGUGCUGCCUCCGUGGCUGGAAGCAGGUUCAGAUAGGAUGUGGCGGAGCCUCUUGGAGCCUGAAUUCAUGUUAUUUAUAAAAAACCAUUUCGUCCCAUGGUUUAUUCUUAAAAAACCAACCAACCAACCAACCAAACAAAAAAACACUAGUAAAAAAUGUGCAUCUUGUCCCCUCCAUCUGUGCAGUGGGUAUAAAAGCCAGACGGUUGCUAUCUGCUGUUAUAGCAACAGGGCAAGGAAGAGCACAGGUAUGAAGACCUGCAUGUAUGCAGCCCACAUCUCUGCACUAAAUCUGUUACCAGCUCUUCCUGGCUGGUGGGCAGGGGCAGCUGAGGUAGCUGCUGGUGACAGCUACAGUUCAGAGUGCUUCUUCAGGCUGUAAUGUUUUCUUUAUGAGGCAAUCAUUUCUGCAAGGGAUUAGCUUUUAUAUGUAGCACCAUAAUGAAAAUUUAAAAAUACACACAGUGUUCCUGCACAUCUUUUUCCUGUUGCUGUUGUGCCCAGCCCUGAAAGAAGGGGAAAGUGAUCAGUGAUGUCCCUCAAACACCGUGCCUGCACCUAGAUGGGCUUUGGCUGCUGCACCGACAGCACAGGCACUGCAGGGAGCAAGUGGAAAUGGCCCUCGGGGCUCUUGGACCAGGAGAGCAUUUCUGAGCUAUUGCUACUGCACGGCUCAGCCCGUGGGAAGUGCUGACCAAAGAGACCCUGCCAGAUCCACCAGAGGUAACAAACUGCCGUAGCUCUGAAACAAGAAACUGCACAUCUUCCCCAGGAUGCAUUUUGCCUUGAGAGCUGGAAAGAAAAGGUCGUGAACAUUAAAAGCAUUUAAGAAAUACCAUGGAUCGCUUUUCCGUAGCAAAGGUAAGAGAUCUGGGCAAAUACUGUUGGUACCUGCAGUUUGGGGGAGACUGUAUUGGUGGUUAGCAGCUAAGGCCUUCCUCACUGGUGAGGUGUUGCACAGCCCUCAGUGGGCAGUGCUUGGAAACGCACUUGAAAAUGCCAGUUAUUCCCCCUGCACCCACAGCAACAUGCAAGUCCAGUGUGUUCCUUAAUAACCCGGCACACAUGGUGCAUUACAUGCUUUGGAGGACUCUGACCCGCUUCUCCACUUAGUGCCAAACCUGCUGUUGAUUCUCAGAGACAAGAAAACAAGAGCAUGUCCUGUUUGGGCUAGAUUGGGGUCUGUAAUCCUGGUGCCAUCAGUCAGAUUGAAAGGCCGGUUCCUUAAAAAGGGAAAAACUGAGCUGUAAUACCAUGGAUAUAUACACAUGGAUAAAGGAGAUAAAGCUUUGACGUUCAGAGCUCUUUGUGCAACAUUCGUGACAUGUCACAAACGCAUCAGCCUGGCUGCUUUACUCAUUGUGUUACACUCCAAAGCAGUUGGGGCCUGACGCUGCCCACGAAGCACACAGAGCUGCCACGUGCUUGCAAAACUUGGCCUCAACCGUGCAGCCUGGUAACGAUGUUUAUAAUACCUUCAGAACAGCGAGAAUCAAUGCAGACUUUCAUUUUAAGGUCAUUUCCCUACUGAGCGCCAUUCAUCCUGAGGAUCAAAUCUGUACUGUGACAUAUCCGUAAUAAAAACUUCGGUGCAGAGUGGUGACCGUAGGCACGUACAGGAAUUUCUGAAUCAAGGAGCCUGUGUGUCCCUAUCACUACCUUAAAGGAUCCGUUUGGGGCGUUAUCCGGAAAUACAGCCCAACAAACAUAGCAGCCCUUAAGACAAACAAGCUUUAAACUGUGUUUCUUUGUUUGUAUCAUUAGAUUUUAUGCAGCCAAAGUUCAUAGUCGCGAGGCUGAAUGCCGGCUGACUGGAGAAAGCUGUAACAAAUGGAUGGUGUCACCAAAUGAAAUGUAUGUUGGCUAACAGCUAUGGGCUACAGUGGCAGUCAGAGCCAUGGAGUGUGUGUCUCUCUGGCCACCACCAGGACGGGGGCAUGCAGAUGGUUUGUGGCUGCUGAGAGAGCUUUGGUAGUGCUCCUGCUCCCAGCAUGUGCAAUGGGCAAUUAGGUUUCUUCCCCAUUGCUCCCUUUUUUGGGACAUUACACAUAUUGGGCAAUGCAUACGGGCUCCCCGACCCUUCCACCUCCUCUUCUUCCCCUCAACUCACAUUCGAAAACUUGGAGAGGGGUGCGGAGUAACAACAUUUUGGCCUCGAUAUAUAGAAACAUAUUUUGCAAAGAUGGUUGGGUGGGUAGAAGGGAUGCUCUUCAAAGACAGGUUUUAUAUACGAAAUUGCAUUUUGGGUCUGCUCUCUCCAGCGGCAUGCUUUGGGAACAGCGCUGUGCCACCUGUGUGACUCUGGUGAUACGCUGCAAGAGAAGCGGUUUCAUUUGGACAAGGGAACGCCAGCAUGGCACCCGUAGCAUCUUCACUGCAAGCAGAAAUAGCAAUGCUGUGUGGCUUUUGCAUUUUUUUUAUUCCCUCGUCUGCCUGUUUUUCUCGUAUGUGUGGGCUGAAGAUUUGGUCACACUGUGUGCCUGCAAACUCACCCAUGCAGGCACCUGCAGGACAGAUAGAGCAGGAAGGCAGUGCUGUUCCUGGAAACGUAGCUCUUGGGCUGCAGUUACGCAUUGAUGCGUGUGCUGGCGCAUUUCUGCAUACGACAGGAGGCAUCACUCCCAGUCACUACCAGGUCUGGAUGCCACGGUGCAAUAAACCCGUUCUCUUGCUUACAA